ACGGACAUCUGGGACCCAAUGGACGACCAGUUCCUUCCCAUCCCCUACUGCUCUGAGAACACCGUGGAGGGCAAGGAAGC
rnacentral:SRP_RNA from 1 species